rnacentral:rRNA from 1 species
AACGAACGCUGGCGGCAUGCCUAACACAUGCAAGUCGAACGAGACCUUCGGGUCUAGUGGCGAACGGGUGCGUAACGCGUGGGAACCUGCCCUUAGGUUCGGAAUAACUCCCCGAAAGGGGUGCUAAUACCGGAUAAUGUCUUCGGACCAAAGAUUUAUCGCCUUUGGAUGGGCCCGCGUUGGAUUAGCUAGUUGGUAGGGUAAAAGCCUACCAAGGCGACGAUCCAUAGCUGGUCUGAGAGGAUGAUCAGCCACACUGGGACUGAGACACGGCCCAGACUCCUACGGGAGGCAGGAGUGGGGAAUAUUGGACAAUGGGCGAAAGCCUGAUCCAGCAAUGCCGCGUGAGUGAUGAAGGCCUUAGGGUUGUAAAGCUCUUUUACCCGGGAUGAUAAUGACAGUACCGGGAGAAUAAGCACCGGCUAACUCCGUG